rnacentral:lncRNA from 1 species
CUGAAAGAAUUUAAAUAUUUUCUUUAUAAUAUCUUCUACAACUAGUCAGUAGUUGUGAAGUAAUCUGUACCAAUAAUAAUAACAUAACAACCCUCAUUCAAAUUUUUGAAACUACGUAUUGACUGUAUAUGGGGUUUCUGUGACAUACCAUGAACAUUGUUUUUCAUUUUCGAAAAGGUUUAAACAGAAAUUCAUCUGUAAACCGUCAUGACUUACGGGUACGGAGGGUGAUC